CCUACGGGUGGCUGCAGUGGGGAAUAUUCCGCAAUGGGGGCAACUCUGACGCAGCAACGCCGCGUGAUUGAAGACGGCCUUCGGGUCGUAAAGCUCUUUAAUCGGGGACGAAUUUUGACGGUACCCGCUGAAUAAGCUCCGGCUAACUACGUGCCAGCAGCCGCGGUAAUACGUAGGGAGCAAGCGUUAUCCGGAUUUACUGGGUGUAAAGGGCGUGUAGGCGGGCACGCAAGUCAGAAGUGAAAGCUGGGGGCUUAACCCCGAAAGUGCAUUUGGAACUGGGGGUCUUGAGUGAUGGAGAGGCAGGCGGAAUUCCCAGUGUAGCGGUGAAAUGCGUAGAUAUUGGGAGGAACACCAGUGGCGAAGGCGGCCUGCUGGACAUUAACUGACGCUGAGGCGCGAAAGCGUGGGGAGCAAACAGGAUUAGAUACCCUAGUAGUC
rnacentral:rRNA from 1 species